rnacentral:snRNA from 1 species
GUUGCUAUGUUCUGGCUACUUUCAUUUCAACGAUACAGAGAAAUUUAGCAUGGUCCUUGGACAAAGAUGACCCUAAUAUCACCUUUGAGUGCACAAAAUGUUU